CUGAAGAAGAAACCGGACGCACCUGAGAGCAGCAGCGCUGACUCUCUACAAGGGCCAGAUGUAAACGCAGUAAAUGUCAUCUGGAGAAUUCGUUACGACCUAAAGUUGAGGACAUUUCUCUCCAGAGUCUGCUUUGCUAAUGAAAAAGAUCACGUCAGCAUCACGUCGGGCUACAUCACUGUGAGAGGGGGUCUGUUUCUGUCUUUGGUUAUCUAGCUGUAUGAGUGUUAAAUGCCUGUCAUAAAGCUAGAUAACCGAAAGUAGAAAUGACCUCCGCAACGUUGUGUUCAUUCCCGAUAAAAAAGAGAGAGGGGAUUCCUCAGGCUUUAAACUCUAAAAGACUUCCAAUUAACAACAUUGAAUGAUCGGGGAUUCCUGAAAAGAGGGCAGAACCAUCAUUAAAAGAAAACGAGGAGAGUCGGUCCGGAAGUGCCACCUCCUCCUCUCCCGUGCCCCGACUCCUCACCCUUUUUACCCAGAAGCCUCUGAUGCCAUCUGUACUGCCAACGGGGGACACUUUGCCCGUGCCAGGAGGUGUACAAAGACCCUACUGGAUCCCUGGAGUAUGGGCGCGCUCAGAGGAGCCAUCUUGGGAGAUGUUGCCGCGACACCUAAAAUGGCUGAGCUGGCAUACGAGGAUGGGACAGGAUCUGCAAGCCUCUCGGCACUCUGUGGGAACCUGCUGGGGCACAAGAGACUCAUCAGAGACUCUCAGCACAACAUGAGAGAGAUUAACAGUCACCUAAAUGAGGAAGAGUCGUAUAUGACUGUAGAAACAAAGUAGAUCAUCUGUAAACCUGAAAUGUAUAGGCCUAACUCAACAUAUGUCUGUUAUCCAUGAAAAUACCAAGUUUAUUUUAAGACACUUUAAUGAUAAAGUGGUGUGUGAUUCGACAUGUUUACACAGAUCUAUUAUUUUCAAAAUUGCAAAUAAAAUAAAAAAAACCUUGAAUGUUCCCACUUCUCACUCAAGAGAUUAUGUGCAUUUCCAUCACUAAUUUUUAAUGAAUCAUUAAUGGAUUCAUUGUUCUCAUAUGGCUAAAUUGAAAUGGAAAAUUCAGGAUAUAAAUGCUUUAAUAAUAAAGUGAAUUGUUUUAAGUUUACUGCUGAACCUCUUUGAAAUAAAAAUGAU